GCCGCGGUAAUUCCAGCUCCAAUAGCGUAUAUUAAAGUUGUUGUGGUUAAAAAGCUCGUAGUUGGAUCUCAGUUCGAGUCAGGCGGUCCACUUGCCAGUGGCUACUGCCUGACUGAACACUUUACCGAGUUGUCCUAUGGUGUUCUUCACCGAGCGUCAUAGGCGAUCGGUACGUUUACUUUGAAAAAAUUAGAGUGCUCAAAGCAGGCGUAACGCCCGAAUAAUGUUGCAUGGAAUAAUGGAAUAGGACCUCGGUUCUAUUUUGUUGGUCUUCGGAAUCAGAGGUAAUGAUCAAUAGGGACAGACGGGGACAUUCGUAUUGCGGCGCUAGAGGUGAAAUUCUUGGACCGUCGCAAGACGAACUAAAGCGAAAGCAUUUGUCAAGAAUGUUUUCAUUAAUCAAGAACGAAAGUUAGAGGUUCGAAGGCGAUCAGAUACCGCCCUAGUUCUAACCAUAAACGAUGCCAACCAGUAAUUCGUCUGAGUUCCUUAAAUGACUCGACGAGGGACUUCCGGGAAACCAAAGUCUUUCGGUUCCAGGGGAAGUAUGGUUGCAAAGCUGAAACUUAAAGAAAUUGACGGAAGGGCACCACCAGGAGUGGAGCCUGCGGCUUAAUUUGACACAACACGGGAAAACUCACCCGGCCCGGACACUGGAAGGAUUGACAGAUUGAGAGCUCUUUCUUGAUUCAGUGGGUGGUGGUGCAUGGCCGUUCUUAGUUGGUGGAGUGAUUUGUCUGGUUAAUUCCGAUAACGAACGAGACUCUAGCCUACUAAAUAGAUCGUCGGCUUACAAACGCCGGCGAGACUUCUUAGAGGGACAGGCGGUGAUUCAACCGCACGAAACAGAGCAAUAACAGGUCUGUGAUGCCCUUAGAUGUCCGGGGCCGCACGCGCGCUACACUGAAGUGAUCAGCGUGCUUUUUCAACCUACUCUGUCAAGAGUGGGGAACCCAAUGAACCUUCUUCGUGAUUGGGAUAGGGGAUUGUAAUUAUUUCCCUUGAACGAGGAAUUCCCAGUAAGCGCGAGUCAUAAGCUCGCGUUGAUUACGUCCCUGCCCUUUGUACACACCGCCCGUCGCUACUACCGAUUGAAUGUUUUAGUGAGGUCUUCGGACUGGCCGGCGCAGCACUCUCGUAGUGCAGCGCUGUGUUUGGAAAGAUGCCCAAACUUGAACAUUUAGAGGAAGUAAAAGU
rnacentral:rRNA from 1 species